GCCAUAAGGGUGGUUGAUCGUGAUGAUCUCUUCACAUACAUGUACAGAUGCUACCUCAAACAUGAGGGGGGCACAGUGGAGACUCCAACACAACAAGAAGUUUCUGCCUGGUAUCAGAAGUUUCUACAAUGUGUGAAGCUGCUCUGCCUGCUGUACACAGUGCUGAUAGUGAAGAGUCUGGUGUACUGCUGUGGACUCUCUCUGCUGAUGAUCCUCACAAACAAGGGACCGUCCACCAACUGCACACAUGCUGACUGACUGUUUUCUGCUCACCUUUUCUCACCAUCAGAUCUCAUCAAUUCAUCUCAUUCAUCACUUUGAUCAGUAUCACAAAUGGGCUGAUGGGAGCUUUGAGGACCUGUUAGAAACCACGUGGCCCUCGUCUGAUCUCACAGCUCGUCCUUGUUUGGCCUCAGCUGCAUCAGAGCGCCACUUCUCCCCAGGUUCACCAGAGGAAACACCACUGCACAAAAUGCUUUUCCUCCCAGCUGCUGCUCUGUGCUGUCUGUGUUCAGGUGAGUGUUUCCAGCCAAUCAGGAGCCAACAAACUCAACCUGUAACAAACACUGUCACACUAACCUUCAUCUAUCUGUCUGUGUCUCU